AUACGUAGGGGGCGAGCGUUGUCCGGAAUGAUUGGGCGUAAAGGGCGCGUAGGCGGCCCGGUAAGUCUGGAGUGAAAGUCCUGUUUUUAAGAUGGGAAUUGCUUUGGAUACUGCCGCGCUUGAGUGCAGGAGAGGUUAUCGGAAUUCCCGGUGUAGCGGUGAAAUGCGUAGAGAUCUGGAGGAACACCAGUGGCGAAGGCGGGUAACUGGACUGCAACUGACGCUGAGGCGCGAAAGUGUGGGGAGCAAACAGGAUUAGAUACCCUGGUAGUCCACACUGUAAACGAUGAAUGCUAGGUGUAAGAGGUAUCGACCCCUUUUGUGCCGGAGUCAACACAAUAAGCAUUCCGCCUGGGGAGUACGGCCGCAAGGUUGAAACUCAAAGGAAUUGACGGGG
rnacentral:rRNA from 1 species